rnacentral:rRNA from 1 species
AUUGAUUUUAUGCUUGCAUAAAUGAUUUUUGGAUUCGGAGCGAGUGGCGAACUGGUGAGUAACACGUGGGUAACCUGCCCUGAAGCGGGGGAUAACAUUUGGAAACAAGUGCUAAUACCGCAUAAUUAGUUGGAACCGCAUGGUUCCAACUUGAAAGAUGGCUCUGCUAUCACUUUGGGAUGGACCCGCGCCGUAUUAGUUAGUUGGUGAGAUAAAAGCCCACCAAGACGAUGAUACGUAGCCGACCUGAGAGGGUAAUCGGCCACAUUGGGACUGAGACACGGCCCAGACUCCUACGGGAGGCAGCAGUAGGGAAUCUUCCACAAUGGACGAAAGUCUGAUGGAGCAACGCCGCGUGAGUGAUGAAGGUUUUCGGAUCGUAAAACUCUGUUGUUAAAGAAGAACAAGUGUUAGAGUAACUGUUAACACUUUGACGGUAUUUAACCAGAAAGCCACGGCUAACUACGUGCCAGCAGCCGCGGUAAUACGUAGGUGGCAAGCGUUGUCCGGAUUUAUUGGGCGUAAAGCGAGCGCAGGCGGUUUUGUAAGUCUGCUGUGAAAGCCCUCAGCUCAACUGAGGAAGUGCAGUGGAAACUACAAAACUUGAGUACAGAAGAGGAAAGUGGAACUCCAUGUGUAGCGGUGAAAUGCGUAGAUAUAUGGAAGAACACCAGUGGCGAAGGCGGCUUUCUGGUCUGUUACUGACGCUGAGGCUCGAAAGCAUGGGUAGCGAACAGGAUUAGAUACCCUGGUAGUCCAUGCCGUAAACGAUGAAUACUAGGUGUUGGAGGGUUUCCGCCCUUCAGUGCCGCAGCUAACGCAUUAAGUAUUCCGCCUGGGGAGUACGACCGCAAGGUUGAAACUCAAAGGAAUUGACGGGGGCCCGCACAAGUGGUGGAGCAUGUGGUUUAAUUCGAUGCUACGCGAAGAACCUUACCAGCUCUUGACAUCUUCUGCCAACCCAAGAGAUUGGGCGUUCCCUUCGGGGACAGGAUGACAGGUGGUGCAUGGUUGUCGUCAGCUCGUGUCGUGAGAUGUUGGGUUAAGUCCCGCAACGAGCGCAACCCUUAUUAUUAGUUGCCAGCAUUUAGUUGGGCACUCUAGUGAGACUGCCGGUGAUAAA